rnacentral:lncRNA from 1 species
AAAUUUAAAAAAUUAUUUAGGUUAUCCCUAAGUGACAACCUAAUAAUUCCACAUCGGAUAGUUAUGGCUAAAUGUGGGAGUAUAUAAGUUUGAUUAGGUUAGACAUAAUAAUUGGACUUAAACAUUUUAGACUGGUGAUUUAGGUCUAACGAGUUAUUAUUGCUAGCUGGUCGGAUCAUUAUAUUUGAUAUCAGAGUCGGUUCACAAGUUGGAAGUGUGAGAUGAGUAUCGACUGAGCCAGGAUUGGAAUGACGGACUAAGCUAGAGUCAGUAAAUAACAGGUUAAGUCAGGGUUAGAAUGACAAGACUAGUGAAACAAGUCUCACAUCGCCUGAUGAUUUUGGACUGUGUGUGUGUUUAGGACUGACGAGGGCGUCAAGGUUGGGAAGAGUAUGUGACAUUCCAAUAAUCUUACAUCGGAUAGUUAUGACUAGAUGUUGGAAUAUAUAAGCUUGAUUAGGCUUAGAUAUAAUAACUGGGCUUAAGCAUUUUGGGCCAGUGGUUAAAGUCUAACAAAUUAUUAUUACUAGCAAAUCGGGAUGUUACACUCUAGACUAGAUGAUCAAAAUAUUCUUAUUGAUUUUUUAAAAAGUUCUUCAAAUAUUCACUUUUCUUCGGGAUUUACUAAUUGGAUUGGAUUUUAGAGUAAUAUUUUGGGUGUUAAGGCUCUAUAUUAACUCAAGCACUUUUGUAGCCAGACUUUUGACUUUU